ACAGCAGCAGCCGCGGGAAUACCAGCACCUCGAGUGGUCAGGAGGUUUAUUGGGCCUAAAGCAUCCGUAGCCGGUUGCAUAAGUUUUCGGUUAAAUCUAUGCGCUUAACGUAUAGGCCGCCGAAAAUACUGUGCAGCUAGGGAGUGGGAGAGGUACACGGUACUCGAUAGGAAGGGGUAAAAUCCUUUGAUCUAUUGAUGACCACCUGUGGCGAAGGCGGUGUACCAGAACACGUUCGACGGUGAGGGAUGAAAGCUGUGGGAGCAAACCGGAUUAGAUACCCCGGUAGUCCCUGUCUCUUAUAC
rnacentral:rRNA from 1 species